rnacentral:ncRNA from 1 species
AUCAACGUUUGAAAAGGAAGUAGUAAAAAGUCGAAAGUUUUAGAGAGCACAUGGUUGGUGAAAAUGUGUACGGACGCUUUUGAACUCGCCUUUGAGUUGCACCUGCUGAACAGUUCUCACAGUAAGCAGAGGCGGUGACGACCGUUACAACGUUCAAGGCCUUGUUUAGUAAGGCAAAAUUAGGUGGUACCACGUAGAUUACGUCCUAUAA